GGGGGCGACCUGGUUUCGACGGGGACUGUGAAGCAGCGCGGGGCAUGCCAAGGUGCAGAACCUUGUGAAUCCUCUGCAAUCGCAAACUUAACUGCGAACGACGAAAACUACGCUCUGGCGGCUUAACCCCGCCGGACCUCGCACCGGGCGGCGCUCAGCCCGGGUGAUGUAACUGUCACAGCGAGGACAUUUAGAGCGAUCGCGUACGUCCGGGUCACUUGGACGACACGCUAAAUCAAGGUGACUGGUUCCGGCGUCGCCUGCCCGUCAGUGGCGCCGGGGCGAGAGCAAAAUGACGUGGCUAAGCAUGUAGUCCCGACUGUGUAGCGUUUUCGGACGCGGGUUCGAUUCCCGCCGCCUCCACCA
rnacentral:tmRNA from 1 species